rnacentral:rRNA from 1 species
UGGGGAAUAUUGGACAAUGGGCGCAGGCCUGAUCCAGCAAUGCCGCGUGUGUGAAGAAGGCCUGCGGGUUGUAAAGCACUUUCAGGGGUGAGGAAGGCGUGAUGUUUAAUACGCAUUACGUUUGACGUUAGCCCCAGAAGAAGCACCGGCUAACUCUGUGCCAGCAGCCGCGGUAAUACAGAGGGUGCUAGCGUUAAUCGGAAUUACUGGGCGUAAAGGGUGUGUAGGUGGUUAGAGUAAGUCAGAUGUAAAAACCCCGGGCUUAACCUGGGAAUGUCGUUUGAUACUGCUCAGCUAGAGUGCUAUAGAGGAUAGUGGAAUUUCCAGUGUAGCGGUGAAAUGCGUAGAUAUUGGAAGGAACACCAGUGGCGAAGGCGACUAUCUGGGUAGAUACUGACACUGAAACACGAAAGCAUGGGUAGCAAACAGG